rnacentral:rRNA from 1 species
UACGGGGGGGGCAAGCGUUGUUCGGAAUUACUGGGCGUAAAGGGCUCGUAGGUGGCCAACUAAGUCAGACGUGAAAUCCCUCGGCUUAACCGGGGAACUGCGUCUGAUACUGGAUGGCUUGAGUUUGGGAGAGGGAUGCGGAAUUCCAGGUGUAGCGGUGAAAUGCGUAGAUAUCUGGAGGAACACCGGUGGCGAAGGCGGCGUCCUGGACCAAUACUGACACUGAGGAGCGAAAGCCAGGGGAGCAAACGGG